rnacentral:rRNA from 1 species
UACGGAGGGUGCAAGCGUUAUCCGGAUUCACUGGGUUUAAAGGGCGCGUAGGCGGCCUUCUAAGUCGAACGUGAAAUCCCCGGGCUCAACCCGGGAACUGCGUCCGAUACUGGGAGGCUUGAAUCCGGGAGAGGGAUGUGGAAUUCCAGGUGUAGCGGUGAAAUGCGUAGAUAUCAGGAGGAACACCGGUGGCGAAGGCGGGUCUCUGGGCAGUAACUGACGCUGAGGAACGAAAGCGUGGGUAGCAAACAGG